AGAUUGAACACUGGCGGCAUGCCUAACACAUGCAAGUCGAACGGGAGUAGCAAUACUCUAGUGGCGGACGGGUGAGGAAUACGUAGGAAUUUGCCCUUAAGUGGGGGAUAACCCGGGGAAACCCGGAUUAAUACCGCAUGACCUCGAAAGAGCAAAGUGGGGGAUCGCAAGACCUCACGCUUUUGGAGAAGCCUACGUCGGAUUAGCUAGUUGGUGAGGUAAUGGCUCACCAAGGCGACGAUCCGUAACUGGUCUGAGAGGAUGAUCAGUCACACCGGAACUGAGACACGGUCCGGACUCCGUACGGGAGGCAGCAGGUGGGGAAUAUUGGGACAAGUGGGCGCAAGCCCUGAUCCAGCAAUCGCCGCGUGUGUAGGAAGAAGGUCCGUUCGGUUAGUAAAGGCUAACGUUUAAGGUUAGGGAAAGAAAAACGUCGACUACUAAC
rnacentral:rRNA from 1 species